UACGGAGGGUGCAAGCGUUAUCCGGAUUCACUGGGUUUAAAGGGUGCGUAGGUGGGCUAGUAAGUCCGUGGUGAAAUCUCCAAGCUUAACUUGGAAACUGCCGUGGAUACUAUUAGUCUUGAAUGUUGUGGAGGUAAGCGGAAUAUGUCAUGUAGCGGUGAAAUGCUUAGAUAUGACAUAGAACACCGAUAGCGGAGGCAGCUUGCUACACAAUGAUUGACACUGAGGCACGAAAGCGUGGGGACCAAACAGG
rnacentral:rRNA from 1 species